rnacentral:rRNA from 1 species
GGAGCUAAUACCGGAUAGUUCCUUGAACCGCAUGGUUCAAGGAUGAAAGACGGUUUCGGCUGUCACUUACAGAUGGACCCGCGGCGCAUUAGCUAGUUGGUGGGGUAAUGGCUCACCAAGGCGACGAUGCGUAGCCGACCUGAGAGGGUGAUCGGCCACACUGGGACUGAGACACGGCCCAGACUCCUACGGGAGGCAGCAGUAGGGAAUCUUCCGCAAUGGACGAAAGUCUGACGGAGCAACGCCGCGUGAGUGAUGAAGGUUUUCGGAUCGUAAAGCUCUGUUGUUAGGGAAGAACAAGUGCGAGAGUAACUGCUCGCACCUUGACGGUACCUAACCAGAAAGCCACGGCUAACUACGUGCCAGCAGCCGCGGUAAUACGUAGGUGGCAAGCGUUGUCCGGAAUUAUUGGGCGUAAAGGGCUCGCAGGCGGUUUCUUAA